UACGGAGGAUGCGAGCGUUAUCCGGAUUCAUUGGGUUUAAAGGGUGCGCAGGCGGGCCUUUAAGCCGGCGGUGAAAUCGCGGGGCUCAACCCCGCCGAGCCGUCGGAACUGGGGGCCUUGAGUGCGGCGGAGGCAUGCGGAAUGCGCGGUGUAGCGGUGAAAUGCAUAGAUAUCGCGCAGAACCCCGAUUGCGAAGGCAGCGUGCCGUGCCGCCACUGACGCUGAGGCACGAAAGCGCGG
rnacentral:rRNA from 1 species